rnacentral:lncRNA from 1 species
UUAAAUAAUAAUAAUAAUGAUAUUAUAUUUUAUCUAGAAAAAUUCUCACAAUUGAGCUUUUACAAAAUGAUGCCCUGUAAAUAAUUUUUAUGUGGGACAUCUUUCAUAUUAAAUUGAUGAAACUACCCUCUGUCCUCCACGAGUCCCCUCCGUCGCCCCUGCUCUCACCGCGAAUGGUGUCGUCCGUCCUCCCUUCCCCCACCUCCCUAGCCGCCCGCCCCUUCUCGCUGGUGGCCUGCCAUGGGCGACGAUCGCACGGGUGUCGCAGGUGAGGGUUGCGACGAAAGGGCCGCUUCGGAUGGCGAGUAGUGGCUGAAUCGAUGGCGUAGCGAUGGGAGAUGGCCUCGUGGGUGACGCACCACGGUACCUAGCGACGGGAUCCGCCCUCUCGUCCUCGCUAUUCGCGACGAGGUUGUCGCGUUUUCCCUCGACAUUCAUGACCACGAGUUGGUCACUCGCGACACAAAACGGAGAAUUGGCUGCGGAUAGCUGUUGCUGGCCGCGGCAAGGAUGAGAAAGACAGGCGACGAGGGAUUGAAGAUGGCGAUGAAGACGGGGAGUGGUGGACGGCGAGGCGAGCAAAGCCGCGGAUGCGAUCGGGGGAGGAGGAGGAGGAAGGGAGGGGAAGGGGAAGGUAGAUGGCGACGGAUGACGCUGCACGUGGUAGGAGCGAGCGUAGAACCGACGAUUGAUGAUUAGUGUAAUUACGCUACGAUGAUGAUGUAAUAAUAAUAUAACGAGAUUUAAAAUGGGCAUAUAUCGAUAAACAUUAAUUUUCUUUCUUUAUUUAGGUCACGUCCUAACUACAGGUGUAUUAAACUCGGUGCCUUCGCCACAGAGCUAACUGGUGGAGGGGCAGAAGGUA